rnacentral:rRNA from 1 species
GAAUAUUGCACAAUGGGGGAAACCCUGAUGCAGCCAUGCCGCGUGUGUGAAGAAGGCCUUCGGGUUGUAAAGCACUUUCAGUGGUGAGGAAGGUUGGUAGUUUAAUACGCUACCAAAUUGACGUUAGCCACAGAAGAAGCACCGGCUAACUCCGUGCCAGCAGCCGCGGUAAUACGGGGGGUGCGAGCGUUAAUCGGAAUUACUGGGCGUAAAGCGUACGUAGGCGGCUUGUUAAGCAAGAUGUGAAAUCCCCGGGCUCAACCUGGGAAUGGCAUUUUGAACUGGCAAGCUCGAGUUCUGAAGAGGGUGGUAGAAUUUCCUGUGUAGCGGUGAAAUGCGUAGAUAUAGGAAGGAAUACCAGUGGCGAAGGCGGCCACCUGGUCAGAAACUGACGCUGAGGUACGAAAGCGUGGGGAGCAAACAGG